rnacentral:rRNA from 1 species
GAGGAAUAUUGAUCAAUGGGCGAGAGCCUGAACCAGCCAAGUAGCGUGCAGGAUGACGGCCCUAUGGGUUGUAAACUGCUUUUAUGUGGGGAUAAAGUGAGCUACGUGUAGUUUAUUGCAGGUACCACAUGAAUAAGGACCGGCUAAUUCCGUGCCAGCAGCCGCGGUAAUACGGAAGGUCCAGGCGUUAUCCGGAUUUAUUGGGUUUAAAGGGAGCGUAGGCCGUGGAUUAAGCGUGUUGUGAAAUGUAGACGCUCAACGUCUGAAUUGCAGCGCGAACUGGUUCACUUGAGUAUGCACAACGUAGGCGGAAUUCGUCGUGUAGCGGUGAAAUGCUUAGAUAUGACGAAGAACUCCGAUUGCGAAGGCAGCUUACGGGAGCACAACUGACGCUGAAGCUCGAAGGUGCGGGUAUCAAACAGGAUUAGAUACCCUGGUAGUCCGCACAGUAAACGAUGGAUGCCCGUUGUUAGUUCACUUAAGAAUUAGCGACCAAGCGAAAGCAUUAAGCAUCCCACCUGGGGAGUACGCCGGCAACGGUG